rnacentral:rRNA from 1 species
AUAUCAAUAAGCGGAGGAAAAGAAACUAACAAGGAUUCCCCUAGUAACUGCGAGUGAAGCGGGAAAAGCUCAAAUUUAAAAUCUGGCGGUCUUUGGCCGUCCGAGUUGUAGUCUGGAGAAGUGCUUUCCGCGCUGGACCGUGUAUAAGUCUCUUGGAACAGAGCGUCAUAGAGGGUGAGAAUCCCGUCUUUGACACGGACUACCAGUGCUUUGUGAUGCGCUCUCAAAGAGUCGAGUUGUUUGGGAAUGCAGCUCAAAAUGGGUGGUGAAUUCCAUCUAAAGCUAAAUAUUGGCGAGAGACCGAUAGCGAACAAGUACCGUGAGGGAAAGAUGAAAAGCACUUUGGAAAGAGAGUUAAACAGUACGUGAAAUUGCUGAAAGGGAAACGCUUGAAGUCAGUCGCGUUGUCCGGAACUCAGCCUUGCUUUUGCUUGGUGCACUUUCCGGAUGACGGGUCAGCAUCGAUUUUGACCGUCGGAAAAGGGCUGGAGUAAUGUGGCACCUCCGGGUGUGUUAUAGACUCUGGUCGCAUACGACGGUUGGGAUCGAGGAACGCAGCGCGCCGCAAGGCAGGGGUUCGCCCACUUUCGCGCUUAGGAUGCUGGCAUAAUGGCUUUAAACGA